rnacentral:tmRNA from 2 species
UCUCUUUCCCCCCGCGAUCACAGUGCCUAUAUUCGCCAUGCCGCUCGCAAGAACGGCUAUGGCGAUAAACGGACGUCGGAAUAAGCCUUUCGGACCCGGGGGCGGUACCCGGCGCCUCCACCCCAGCCCUGCGGCGCGAGCAGCAGGAAACUUGCAGCCUCGAAGCUGCAGGGCUGCGGCGGGGGCGAAAUAGGAUCGACGAGGGUGUAAAGGUCGUUCUUUUGCUCGGCAUGGUUCCGCCGUUAUCGGGCCAAAGCAUAGUUGCCAACGACAACAAUGCUCGGGUUGCUGUCGCCGCGUAAGCGGUGCUGGUUCCCAAACCAAAGCCCUUGCGCUUAGCCGCGUAAGGCGGGGCUCGGAGGCGCCUGGCAACAGAAGCCUCCACU